CUGUUGAGCUUUUCCAGCAACUUUUUUUUUGUUCGAGGGUUACCUGUCCAGUGAUAGUCCAGCGAUCUGUCACCACCUUUUUAUUUCCUGUGUUUUCUACAGCGUGGAAAUGGGCUUUUUGACCUCGGUGUCUUUUUUAAAAAAUUUCGCUCUUUCCUUCUCUCAGAUGAUGAGCAUGGAUUUGGAAGUUGAGGGAAUUCUGGAAAGGCUCCUGGACGCCGUGAAUCGCGGCGGGACAACGGCAAUGGCCGCUCUGGUGCAAGCAGAGAGGAGGAGGAUCGAGCAGGUGACGGUCGACGUGGCGGUCACCGGCCCCUCGCGGUGCGGCAAGUCCACCUUCAUCCACUCGGCCAUGGGCUUCCAGGACGGCGACGAGGGUGGCCCGUCCACCGCUCCCGGCCCGGGGGCGACCAAGCCGGCACCGUACCGCCGGCCGGGGUUCCCGUGCUGCGCGUUCUGGGAGCUGCCCAGCGUCGGCGGCGGCGGCGGCGGCGCCUUCUCCCCGCGGGGCUACCUGCGGGCGGUGGAGGCCGACCGGUACGCCGGCUUCUACCUCCUGUCGCCGGGCCGCUUCACGCAGCAGGCGGCGGCCCUCGCCGACGAGCUGAGGCGGCUCGGCAAGCCCUUCUACUUCGUCCGCACCAAGAUCGACGCGGACGCCGGCGGCCGCGAGGACCGGGGGUUCGCCAGGGCGUCGCUGCAGGCCGUGGCCGCCGGUCGCUUCGCCCGCUUGGACCUGGAGUACGCUGUCGCUCGCUUCUUCUGCGUCUCCUGCCACGAGAGCGAGCGGUUCGACUUCGCGGCCUGCAUUCGGGCCCUGCAGCGGUCCGCGCCUCCGCUUCAGCGGCACGCCCUGCUGCUGUGCCUGCACCACCUCGCCGACAAGAUGGAGCUGAAGAACUCGCUGAAGGAGCUCAUCCCGGUGGCGGCCGUCCACAGCUGCGUCGUCGACCCCGUCGAGGUCGAGCAGCUGCCCUACCGGGCCAACGUCGCCUUCCUGUGCGACGAGAUCCGUCUGUACCGCCUGCUGCUGGGCCUCGACUACCCGGCCCUGAGCCGGACGGCCCGGCUGGUCGGCCGGCCCGCCUUCGUCCUCUGCGACGAGAUCCAGACGCGCCUGGCCAGGGAGCUGACCGAGAAGGCCGUGGCGGACGAGCUGCUCCGGUGGACGGAGAAGAACGUCCUGGUUUCCCCCGGCAACGCGAAGUGGAUCCCGCUGCUCGGGCGCCUGCCCGGCGGGGAGCUGUCGGGCACCUCCACCAUCCGGCUGCUGGACGCCAUGCUGGAGCAGUUCAUGGACGACGUCUACCGGAUUCGGAGGAAAAUGGCGGACGUGCUGAGGGGCGACUGACCCGGCGGCCCGACGAUUGACAACUUCCAGUUAGGUAUCCGGGGCGACGGGACCAUAAGCGAAGGACACCAGAUCUCUUACCCCUCAAAUAUUCAAUACUAGAAAACCUCAGGACAAGGACAAACAAGGCAACAAGAUACAAUGAGAUUUUUAUUGAUAGUACCCGUUCUCUACAAUAUCAUUCUAAGAGUAUUUUCACUCCAAUGCAAGAGUUGUCAGCAUAAACCUGAUGUCCAAUGUGAAGUCAUUGAAUGCCACAGUCCAGAUGUCUGUACAACCUCAUUAUCAAUCGUGGAUAAUGUUUCAUAUGUUGAGAGGUCUUGUGAGUACGGGUCGCACUGUGGUGUAUCCUUAAACACGGGUGGCAUAAAGCAGAGUUUCAUAUGCUGCAAAACUGACCUAUGCAACAAACACACCUUGCCAGAGAGUAAAAAUGGCGUGGAAUGCUAUGGAUGUACUGAAGCCAGUUGCCGUGAUGAUUUCAAGAAAAUUGAAUGCACUUCUAAUCAGGAAUAUUGUGCCUCAGGUUACUUCAAAGGAUCAUUUGAUCGGUUUUCCCCAUUGCUUUGGGAUUUAGCCCGAAAUAAGUCAGCAAGAGAAAAUCUGGAUGUUCAAAAGGGUGAAACUCAUUUUCCGUUUCGAGGCUGUGUGAGUACGGAGGUUUGUGGGCUUCCUUUUCCAUUUCUGGAAAUCAACUGCUGCUGUGGAAACUUGUGCAACAGGAGCACCAGCGCACAGCACCACGUGCUGCUCCUCCUGGUGACAGGACUCCUUCCUUCCCUCAGGAUGCCCCUGUAGGUGGAAAUCUGAAAGACUGCAGGCUUCGAAUGGCCAAAUGAAAUCCUACCAGGAGGACCUGGUCUGAAAACCUUUCCAAAGGAAGUGAAGACUGAGGAAAGAUCUUACUCACUGUCUUUUAGGACCUUACUUCGUACCACAGUGAUUUCACACCCAAUGUGGGCACUUCCAAACCAAAACUUGUACUGGCGGAGACAUGACAGCCAACUUUCACAAAGAAAGCUACGAGAAAUAAGGUAAUUGUCUGCUUUCGUUGAUGCUGGCUGAAUAUUUACCACAGAGAACUACACCCUGUUGUAUCCAAAUCAUGGACAUAGGAUCUUUCACAUUCAUGUGAGAGGAGGACAAUGCAGCAGUCUGUUGUUUCAUUUAAAAUAAAGGACCUCCGACAGUGCACUGUUGCCUCAAUGACGACUCUGACAAUGCUGUCCACCGCCCUCCCCCCACCACCUCUGUAACAACUGUAUGGCAGCGCAGUGCUCCUUUAGUCCUGUGCCUCUGACAGUGCAAGGGUCCCUCUAUGCUGACCCUCGGAAAGUAUAGCGCUCCCUCGGUACCGCCUCUUUGACAGCACAAAAGCUCCAACUUCCAGCACCUCCGGUGCUUCCGUCUUACAAACUGACUCUCCAAUUGUGCAAGCACUCCCUUCCAACAGAUCCUCAGCCAUUGCAGGAUCUUGCUGUGUGUAAAUCAGCUGCCACAAUUCAUACAUUAUAAGAGUUCAUCUUCAAAAGAAAAUUCUAAUUGCUUGUGAACUGGUUGAUCACCCUGAGGAUGGUUUAAGGUGCUCUAGACUUUUGCUUUCUGGGGACAUGUUUGGAGGUGCAGUGAUGUAUUUGUGACUCGCCAACCCUCUUCACGCUGCCGAUCUGAGAGGGCAUGACAUUGGCUGGUGGCCCUUGUAGGACAGUUGCAAGCUGUACAAGAUUUUCCUCGGUGACCGUGUGCCAUUUAAUCCAUUCAGCUCACUGUUACACGUGAGACCUCCAGCUUGGCCAAUUAAAUUGGCGUUAAAAUAGCAUUUGUCUUUUUAUCCAUAGGUUUUCCACGGAGAUUGUUGCAGGAUUUCUCUAGGUUUGACCACACACUGGUGAAAUAACACUCUUUGUACCAUUUGGAAACAGCAAUUGCUUUAUAACUUUUGAGUCUGUGUAUAGACUUGAAACUUCAAAUGUGAAUUUGGUGCUUUACACACAAGGUAUUUUGGAAAUGAAAUGAGUUGUUUACCAUUGGCUGUGCUGCAUUCCUUUGGGACUGAUCUCUACAUGUUGUGAUUGAAUGGUAUCACUUUAUCCCGUUCAAUACUUUGUGAACAUAUUGAAACUGCGUUGAGAUUUAAUUCCUU